GAUGAACGCUAGCGGCAGGCCUAACACAUGCAAGUCGAGGGGUAGAAGGAGCUUGCUCCUUUGAGACCGGCGCACGGGUGCGUAACGCGUAUGCAAUCUACCUUUUACAGAGGGAUAGCCCAGAGAAAUUUGGAUUAAUACCUCAUAGUAUAUAUCAUUCGCAUGUUUGGUAUAUUAAAGUUCCAACGGUAAAAGAUGAGCAUGCGUCCCAUUAGUUAGUUGGUAAGGUAACGGCUUACCAAGACGAUGAUGGGUAGGGGUCCUGAGAGGGAGAUCCCCCACACUGGUACUGAGACACGGACCAGACUCCUACGGGAGGCAGCAGGGAGGAAUAUUGGUCAAUGGACGCAAGUCUGAACCAGCCAUGCCGCGUGCAGGAAGACGGUCCUAUGGAUUGUAAACUGCUUUUGUACGGGAAGAAACACUCCUACGUGUAGGAGCCUGACGGUACCGUAAGGAUAAGGAUCGGCUAACUCCGUGCCAGCCGCCGCGGUAAGAC
rnacentral:rRNA from 1 species